rnacentral:misc_RNA from 1 species
GCUGCCCACGCGAAGUGCAUUCAAGCUUCAUAUGAGUGUGGCCACGACGCGCUCGCAGCUGCGCAUCGCCAUCGGCCUCUCCGGCGGUGUCGACAGCGCCGUCACCGCCCUCGUGCUGCAACGCUGUGUUCACACCACACUCGACGUCGCCGCGCUUCGCUGCUUUGGCGGCCCACGCGCUCCGCCUCCGCCACUGCGCGCACUACGAGCGGCGGUUGACGCACAUGUACCGCUCCACGAGCUGCUCGGCAAGCUGGUCACCGCAGGCGAGCCGGGCAUUGCGGCUGCAGGCUACGAUGCUGCGCCUGUGCAGUACACCCCCUUUUUCAUGCGCAACUGGCACGAUGACAACGCGGCCUCUGGAUGGUGUGAGCGAGCCCAGGUCGACUACGACGAUGCGCAGCAAGUGGCAAGGGCGCUAGACCUCCUUCCCCGCGACGGCACGCCUCUGCCGAUGUACGACCUCUCCAGCGAGUACGUUGGGCAGUGUUUUGAGCGCAUGCUGGCCGCCUACGCCGCAGGACACACGCUCAACGUGGACGUGCUGUGCAACAGCAAGAUCAAAUUCGGCGCCUUGACGCGUGCGCUGCGUCGCACGGGAUCGGCGUUCAGUGAAACACUCCUCGCCACCGGUCACUACGCGCGCACGUGGGACCUUCCGCGCGGUGUCCACGGUGGCGAUAAUGCUAAGAGACGACUGGUGCUGCUCGUGCGGCCGUGCUCUGCGGGGCGGGACCUCAACGAUCAGACCGUCUUUCUAUCCCGGGUGCCGCCAUCUGCCCUGGCCACGGCGAUUUUCCCUCUCGGGCACCUCUUCACCUGCAAGGCGGAUGUGCGUGCACUGGCGAGGCACAGCUUCGGGCACAGCGGUGGCACGGCGGCGGUGGCGAGCUCAGAUGGCGAACCGCAGCGUACGGUGGCGCACAUCUCCCGAAAGAAGACCAGCACGGGUAUCUGCUUCGUCGGGCCGCCCUCCGCUGCCACGUGCGCCGGCGAUACAUCGUGUAGCUCGCGCUUCCCUCCCUUCUUGAACGAGUACCUCCCGCCACCGCCACCGCCGCCCUUGCCAUCGACCCGCACGGUGUUCUGCGACGCGGUGACGGGGGAAGAGCUGCUCGUGCCUGGAGGCACAGCUGAGCACUUCGCCGGGGCGCCAUUGCAGCCUUUUGCGUGCCGUCUACAUCGUGGUCCCAUGUUUGGUGCCCUCCGGGCAGACUACCCGGGCCUCCUGCCGGCCUACGCCUUUACUCUCGGCCAGCGUGUGCGUCUCUGCCGCCGCACCGUUGACGGGCGAGUGCGCGAGGCGGCCUACUACGUUGCUGACAAGGUGCUGGCACCUCUGCCGUCGUCGGAUAUGAGUGACGACAAAGCCGUGCCUGUGCGUCUGUUGGCAGAGGUGCGGGUGGUUACCCAGUGGAACCACGCGCUGCUGUACGCCUCUCAAGCCACGGUCGCGUCACUGCACUGGUGGCUACCGCCGCCUGUGCUGCAUCAGCGCGCUGUGGCCUACCAUGAGCGUGGCGUGUAUGGGCUGCGGUGUCAUUGCUGCACGCGGCAUCAAGAAGCACUGCAGCCAGCGACAGUGGAAUGGGAAGCGGCGGACGAAGAGCUCAGCGCGGAUGCGGAGGUGCGCGUUCGGCGUGCUCGCGUACACUUCGAUGCCCCUCUUCGUGCCGUUACGCCGGGACAGGCGCUCGUGGCAUACAUGCCCCUCUUGGAGCUCGAAGGAGGGUGGAAGAAGGGCCGUGACGCCUCUCGCGGUGAUGCCGAGCCGUCGCCGCCUGAGGCAAUGGCUGUGAUCGGGUCUGGCUGGGUUGUGUCGCCUGACUCUCCGCCGCCUGGAGGGCUCGCUCUCUCUCUGCUGACAGUCUAGCCCCCCUUCCCUCUCCUCUCCAGCGGUGCGCACCACGCCUGCAGAUGACGACUCUGUCGUCAUUUCGUCGCUUGUCUUCGUGCCGUGUUGACCUCUUCACAGAACUUGUCGUUGUCUCUUUAUGCCACCGCCCAGUGCGACGUCGAAGCCGCCGCCUCCCCACCCCCUCCCUCUUCUCCGAAGAGGGUGGCUGGGAGAGAGAAGAGAGGAGAGGAGAACGGCGCGGUGACAUAUGUUGCCGCCUUCGCUGUCGCUGCCCAAUCCAUCUCUCAACGUCAGCACGACCCCAGCAGCCCCACCCCCUCCAUCAGUCGGCCCACACUCAUCUUGCACCGUCCAGCCCUCGUCCGCCCUUCCCACCUUGUCCUGCUUUUCCUUGACGCAUAUGCGCACGCGCACGCUUGCAUGUGAGCGAGAG